UAUGAGANUNGAACNNUCUCUUGUAAUAAGUCAAUUAAACUGAUNUUNUAGUACAAAAGCUAGAAUAAAGAUAUAAGACCAGAAGACCCUGUGAAGNUUAAACUACUCUAUUUAAACCUAUUAAUAGAUACUUUCAGUUGGGGCGACUUUGGAACAAAAAAAAACUUCCAAAUACUACGAACUAUAACUCGUAUUAAAGGUUAACAAACCACUAUAAGACCCAGUAUUACUGAUUAUUGAACCAAGUUACUCCAGGGAUAACAGCGCCAUCUUCUUCAAGAGCCCAUAUCAAAAAGAAGGUUUACGACCUCGAUGUUGGAUCAGGACACCCAAAUGGUGCAGACGCUAUUAAAGGUUCGUUUGUUCAACGAUUAAUAGU
rnacentral:rRNA from 1 species